UAGCUCAGUUGGUAAAGAAUCUUCCUGCAAUGAAGGAGACCCAGGUUCGAUUCCUGG
rnacentral:tRNA from 1 species